GACAACACUAUCGGUUGAACAUGUUAAAAUUCAAUAACAGCUCAGAACUUUAGGGAUUGUGAUAUUUCUAAUUUAUUGGUAAUAGUUUCGAAAAGUUCAUUUGCUUAAGUUUAUAAAAUUAAGUUUAGUGCUCUUGCACAAAUAUUCUUUUUAAUAAACCUCCGUCUUUGAAAUCAUCACUCCAAUCGCUUUGUAUCUGCAGACCAUCUUUAUCAUUUUCCACUGCCGAUGUCAAACAAUCAGACCGUCCUCCAGACCAAUCAAUAAUCCCAAAAGCUCCAUUUGAGUGGCAUAAACAAAAUUGGCCUGACUUUCACAUAAAUUUCCUAAGAUUAUAGUGCCCACAGAUCCGAAGAAGCCAGCAUGUCAAGUAGCAGCGAUGAUGCUUAGGUGCUGGAAAAUGGCAGACAGCAAGUGAAACUGCACACGAAACUGGGAACUGGGAUCUGGAAACUGUUUUUCCAUGGCGAUAUGCAGGGCGCCCCGGACCGAAAUCAACUUGCUACUUAUGCGUCGUCAUUGCAUAAACAAGGCACUCGACGGCAGCAGGUUUACCGGUCUGGUUUUCCCUGAGUUUUUUUCCCACUCACUGAGAAAUUGCAACAUUACGUGCCCCAGGAGCCACGUCCACUUCUCAUGCAAAGCAUGCACAAUUCUCCAGAGCUCUGGACUAAAGAUAAAUUGAUAGUAUUUUGGGGCUGACUCUGGUACCCCGACAUUUUCCUAGGUGCCUUAUUUUUUUCUCUUUUUUGGUUAGGCAAUACGCAAAUGGUGAAACUGUCCAUUAACAGAAAAGAAAUAAAAGUUAAACAAGAACAAACAGGGAAACAAUAAGGUGGACGGGCUGCAGAAAAAAAGUUGAAAUCCUUUAUUGUCCAUUGUCGGCCAUGGAGUUCUCUAUCAGAAUGCCUUAAUUAAGAACGCUCGGAGUCUGGCCAAAGAGUCAGACUUCAUUUCGAUUUUUAACAGCGCAGCUGUUACCAAAAACCCAACGAUUCCAUUCGCCUGAAAAACUCAACCCAACCAACCAGCCCCACUUCGUCCUGUCAGGGAAAAAAUGGAAACCAACAAUUUGCAGUUUACAUUUAACAGCAGAUCGAGGGGCGGUGGGGCAUGGGACACGUUAUUGGAAAAGCAGUGAAAAUUGGUUUGUUUGACGGCCCGAUGUCUGGCGGAAUAACAUAGCCCGCACCUAUACACAUACACACUCAAGCACACACAUAGCGAACGUAUAUUUUAUAUCGCAUAUAGUUACCGUCAUUGUCGAAAACUCUCGGAUAGCAGAAGAAAUUACAUCGAUAGCGGAAAAACUUUACGAUCAAGAAAAAAUAAAAGUAAAAUGAUGAGCGCCCAACCACCGAUAGACAGUCAAUCAGGACCCUUAUAUUGAGUUGCAUUUUUUGUGUCUCUUCAUAAAUUAACCGUGCUAGAGGAUUCCAAUCAUGUCGCUGCCACUGAAAGUAUUAACAAAAAAUAUGACAUAUUUUUAAUGAAUACAUA